rnacentral:misc_RNA from 1 species
UCCGAGUUGACCCCGGCAGUCUCCAAUGAGUCCCCGCCAUUACGCGCUGGCAACAUUGAACGAGGGUUGCGCUCGUUGCGGGACUUAACCCAACAUCUCACGACACGAGCUGACGACAACCAUGCACCACCUGUAUAGGGCCCUUGCGGACCUCACAUCUCUGUGAGAUUUCCCUAUAUGUCAAGCCUUGGUAAGGUUCUUCGCGUUGCGUCGAAUUAAGCCGCAUGCUCCGCCGCUUGUGCGGGUCCCCGUCAAUUCCUUUGAGUUUCGGUCUUGCGACCGUACUCCCCAGGCGGAGUGUUUCACGCGUUAGCUGGGCCCCUGAUCCACGUAGACCAAGGGCGAACACUCAUCGUUUACGGCGUGGACUAC